GAAAACCAUUUUAAAAACAAAAACAAAGAAUCAACUGAAAGGUAUUCUGUAUCAAGAGGAAAAAACCUCAAAUGGAAAACUUUGGAGUGCUAUGGCUGUUGUGCUGUGAUCAAGUGCAGGACUGCUGACCGUUUCUGGAGUGGGGAACUGGCCAAUGCAACCCAUGGAGCAGGGCUGGUAGCUAACUGGGAGGUCAAGGGGCUCACCUAUGAACUGGAAUAAAUCAAGGGGCCACCAACCAAGUCAGUAAAUGAGUACUCUUCUGGAUGUGCACUCUCAACAAAGACCAAAUGGCUCAGAUGGACAAAGGUUCUGAGCCCCCCCGCUCCUUCCUCCCUGCCUAGAUGUGGGCAGGACCCAUCAAGGCAAAGCUUUGGAAGCAAGCAGCAGCGUCCCCAAUUUCUA